GGCUCAGAUUGAACGCUGGCGGCAUGGCUAAAACAUGCAAGUCGAACGCGAAAGCACUUCGGUGCAAGUAGAGUGGCGAAAGGGCGAGGAAUAAGUACCUAACGUGCCUUCAGGUAAGGGAUAGCUCAUGGAAACGUGUGGUAAUACCUUAUAAUCUCUAUCUUCCGUAUGGUGGGUAGAGCAAAGGCUUGCUGCCUGAAGAUCGGGGUACUUCCUAUCAGCUUGUUGGUAAGGUAACGGCUUACCAAGGCUAAGACGGGUAGCGGGUGUGAGAGCAUGACCCGCCGCAUCGGGACUGAGACACUGCCCGGACUCUUACGGGAGGCUGC
rnacentral:rRNA from 1 species